AACGCGAAGAACCUUACCAGGUCUUGACAUCCCUCUGAAUCCUCUAGAGAUAGAGGCGACCUUCGGGACAGAGGAGACAGGUGGUGCAUGGUUGUCGUCAGCUCGUGUCGUGAGAUGUUGGGUUAAGUCCCGCAACGAGCGCAACCCUUGAUCUUAGUUGCCAGCACUUCGGGUGGGCACUCUAGGAUGACUGCCGGUGACAAACCGGAGGAAGGUGGGGAUGACGUCAAAUCAUCAUGCCCCUUAUGACCUGGGCUACACACGUACUACAAUGGUCGGUACAACGGGAAGCGAAGCCGCGAGGUGGAGCCAAUCCUUAUAAGCCGAUCUCAGUUCGGAUUGCAGGCUGCAACUCGCCUGCAUGAAGUCGGAAUUGCUAGUAAUCGCGGAUCAGCAUGCCGCGGUGAAUACGUUCCCGGGCCUUGUA
rnacentral:rRNA from 1 species